AAGCGUUAGGGGAUUACUAAGCGAAUGAACACGUCUUUCAAAACACUUCUUAUACCCCAACUGCACACACUACGCGGUAUUUUCUUUCUUACAACAUGGCACUUGAUAGCAGCGUUCAUUUUAAAAGCGACGAGUCUAUAACCGAGCGGAACCGGGCUUAUUCCAGUCCACCAGACCAGCAAUAGCGGUUCCGUAGCAAACGCAAGCCCUCCACCGUGACUGCUGCAAUAUGCAUCUCACCUACCGAACACGCGUUCUCCACGUGCGCGCGAGCCCCAUGCUUCCUUCACCUGCGAAGGUAAUGAUGUCACGUGCUGGGAAGGCUCCGGCGUGCGGCGCGAGGCCAGUUUAGUCCGCGUCCAUGUCGCUCGCUGCGGUUUACCUGUUUGCUUCAUCUCAUCAAAUCCACGAUAGAUGCGUCCCAUAAUAGUAUGUUGACGUUUUAUUAGUACAUGCAUAUGGAAAAGCUGUUCAUAUCUGACUUUACUUCAAGGAGUACCACCAGCCGUGCCAAGUAUACCACACUAUCCCAUCGUCAGUCACUGCACUGUAUGGACCUUUAUAGUAGAGUCCGUUCAGAUUAGCAGAGUGGCAUCUAGAGGACAAAAAUGGAA